ACGAACGCUGGCGGCGUGCUUAACACAUGCAAGUCGAACGGAAAGGCCCUGCUUUUGUGGGGUGCUCGAGUGGCGAACGGGUGAGUAACACGUGAGUAACCUGCCCUUGACUUUGGGAUAACUUCAGGAAACUGGGGCUAAUACCGGAUAGGAGCUCCUGCUGCAUGGUGGGGGUUGGAAAGUUUCGGCGGUUGGGGAUGGACUCGCGGCUUAUCAGCUUGUUGGUGGGGUAGUGGCUUACCAAGGCUUUGACGGGUAGCCGGCCUGAGAGGGUGACCGGCCACAUUGGGACUGAGAUACGGCCCUGACUCCUACGGGAGGCAGCAGUGGGGAAUAUUGCACAAUGGGCGGAAGCCUGAUGCAGCAACGCCGCGUGCGGGAUGACGGCCUUCGGGUUGUAAACCGCUUUCGCCUGUGACGAAGCGUGAGUGACGGUAAUGGGUAAAGAAGCACCGGCUAACUACGU
rnacentral:rRNA from 1 species